GACGAACGCUGGCGGCGUGCUUAACACAUGCAAGUCGAACGAAGAGCGAUGGAAGCUUGCUUCUAUCAAUCUUAGUGGCGAACGGGUGAGUAACGCGUAAUCAACCUGCCCUUCAGAGGGGGACAACAGUUGGAAACGACUGCUAAUACCGCAUACGAUCUAAUCUCGGCAUCGAGGAUAGAUGAAAGGUGGCCUCUACAUGUAAGCUAUCACUGAAGGAGGGGAUUGCGUCUGAUGAGCUAGUUGGAGGGGUAACGGCCCACCAAGGCGAUGAUCAGUAGCCGGUCUGAGAGGAUGAACGGCCACAUUGGGACUGAGACACGGCCCAGACUCCUACGGGAGGCAGCAGUGGGGAAUCUUCCGCAAUGGACGAAAGUCUGACGGAGCAACGCCGCGUGAGUGAUGACGGCCUUCGGGUUGUAAAGCUCUGUUAAUCGGGACGAAAGGCCUUCUUGCGAAUAGUGAGAAGGAUUGACGGUACCGGAAUAGAAAGCCACGGCUAACUACGUG
rnacentral:rRNA from 1 species